AGCGAACGCUGGCGGCAGGCUUAACACAUGCAAGUCGAGCGGGCACUUUCGGGUGUCCGCGGCGGACGGGUGAGUAACGCGUGGGAACGUGCCCUCUGGUUCGGAAUAACUCAGGGAAACUUGAGCUAAUACCGGAUACGCCCUUUUGGGGAAAGGCUUGCUGCCGGAGGAUCGGCCCGCGUCUGAUUAGCUAGUUGGUGAGGUAACGGCUCACCAAGGCGACGAUCAGUAGCUGGUCUGGGAGGAUGAUCAGCCCCACUGGGACUGAGACACGGCCCUGAUCCCGGCGGGAGGCGGGGGGGGGGAUUUUCGGACAGGGGGCGCAAGCCGGAGCCACCCCGGCCGGGGGAAGAAGGAAGGCCUUAGGUUUAUAAAUCUUCUUUAGCCGGGACGAAAUGACGGGACCCGAGGAAUAAGCCCCGGCUAACUUCGUG
rnacentral:rRNA from 1 species